GCACCCGUAGCUCAGGUGGAUAGAGCAACGUCCUUCUAAGUCGUAGGUCGCUGGUUCGAGUCCAGCCGGGUGCG
rnacentral:tRNA from 1 species